AUUGAACGCUGGCGGCAGGCCUAACACAUGCAAGUCGAGCGGAUGAAGGGAGCUUGCUCCUGGAUUCAGCGGCGGACGGGUGAGUAAUGCCUAGGAAUCUGCCUGGUAGUGGGGGAUAACGUCCGGAAACGGGCGCUAAUACCGCAUACGUCCUGAGGGAGAAAGUGGGGGAUCUUCGGACCUCACGCUAUCAGAUGAGCCUAGGUCGGAUUAGCUAGUUGGUGGGGUAAAGGCCUACCAAGGCGACGAUCCGUAACUGGUCUGAGAGGAUGAUCAGUCACACUGGAACUGAGACACGGUCCAGACGCCUAAGGGAGGCAGCAGUGGGGAAUAUUGGACAAUGGGCGAAAGCCUGAUCCAGCCAUGCCGCGUGUGUGAAGAAGGUCUUCGGAUUGGAAAGCACGUUAAGUUGGGAGGAAGGGCAGUAAGUUAAUACCUUGCUGUUUUGACGUUACCAACAGAAUAAGCACCGGCUAACUUCGUG
rnacentral:rRNA from 1 species